rfam:Zunongwangia profunda SM-A87, complete genome.
UCUGUCGUGAGACGGGAAGUGAAGGAAGCAGGACUACAAAUCUUGGGACUGACGAACAGGAGCCAGAUAUGAGGCUAAAAGUUCCGAUGGCUAUCGGAAGGAUAAGCAAGCACAUCAUUGCGACGUCCCAAACACUUUUAUAGUGAAUACCGGAGCAGUAGGAUCUGGCAGGAAUCAAGGGAAAGAAGAUGUU